GGAGUUACUGUUUAUUUGAAAGCUGCCUGUUGGACAGUGAGGAGUUACUGUUUAUUUGAAAGCUGCCUGUUGGACAGUGAGGAGUUACUGUUAUUUGAAAGCUGCGUGUUGGACAGUGAGGAGUUACUGUUUAUUUGAAAGCUGCCUGUUGGACAGUGAGGAGUUACUGUUUAUUUGAAAGCUGCCUGUUGGACAGUGAGGAGUUACUGUUUAUUUGAAAGCUGCCUGUUGGACAGUGAGGAGUUACUGUUUAUUUGAAAGCUGAGGGAUGUGAAUGACUAGUUAUGUACUUUGGUAAAGACGUUAUUCUACAUAUUUCUAUCUCUGUAAUGUAAUCUCGCUCUACUCUUUCUCCCUUGCUUGGCCAUCCUCCCUCUUGUCCUCUUAAUUAGCUUACCCUCUCCUGCAACAUUAGCUUUGUAUCACUCAGACCACAGGAGGCUGCUGAGGGGAGGACUACUCAUAAAAAGGCCUGGAAUGUAGUGAAUGGAAUAGUAUCAAAUGCAUGGAAACCAUUCAUUCCAUUCCAGCCAUUACUAUGAGCCUUGUCCUCCCCAAUUAAGGUGCCUCCAACCUCCUGGGAUUCAGACAGAGAAGUCACAGUAUUCACUGUUGGUUGUCCUCGUCAAAUAACUUUAUGAGAUCCCUUUUUCAUCCAUUCCACCGGCUCUCCCUUCACACAUGUAUUAAACAUGACUUCGGAUAUAGGCUGUCCCUUCACACAUGUAUUAAACAUGACUUCGGAUAUAGGCUGUCCCUUCACACAUGUAUUAAACAUGACUUCGGAUGUAGGCUGUCCCUUCACACAUGUAUUAAACAUGACUUCGGAUGUAGGCUGUCCCUUCACACAUGUAUUAAACAUGACUUCGGAUGUAGGCUGUCCCUUCACACAUGUAUUAAACAUGACUUCGGAUAUAGGCUGUCCCUUCACAUGUAUUAAACAUGACUUCGGAUAUAGGCUGUCCCUUCACAUGAAUUAAACAUGACUUCGGAUGUAGGCUAGUCAUUUUACGGGCAUUUCUCCAUGUGUACUGUGAACUUUCAUCCUUUUGUUAAUAACUCAGAAUCCAGUGUAUAGUCUUUAUUUAUUGCUUUACAAUCAUUUAUAAAGAUACUGUUUAUUACCUCACUAUUUUCUUUAAGAAAUCAGAAAUUCUCUGUCAGCAUUGUCUGUUUUUUUAUAUUAAAAAGGACUUUGUGUCAACGACCCUAAACCCCGCCUAUUUCUACAAAAACGUCCCACAUAAUCAUCCUAUUUCCCCAAGUAAAAAUAGCCUUUACAUGACCAAAACAUCACCCAUAAUAUUUGUACACCAUUAAAAUGCUCAGAAUUGAAGAAAUGGUACAUUCUCUCACAGUCAGGAAGCCUGAAAGAACAGGGGCUGACUGGGCGGAGAGCUUAUAUUCAUGAGCUCGCCUUGACUGAGAGCUCUUUGAAACGCCCUUGUGGUCGUUGCCUGGUAACAAGGUAAACAAUCCUAACCUAAAUUGUAAGGCUCAACCCAUUUUCUCUGCAAAAUGCUCUCAUGGCCAACAGAACUGGCUCAUGUUCUUGACGUGUCAUGUUUACAUAUUCUAGGUGUACAGUUGCACUGUGUUUAUGCAUAUUAGUCCAAUAACAAAGUCUUAUGUUUCCAACAUAGACUACAGCAUUCCUUUUCUCCAUAUGAAGUUUAGUCAGACUAUUGUUUUGUAACUAAUUACAGAAUACAUUUCACUGAUACACUUCUUCACAAGAAUUAGUAAAGCUCAAGACACCUUAGCCAUAAGGGAAUGUAUAUGAAAACAGCAUAUAAUCAGUGUACUGGACAAUGUAUUGGUGCCUCUUCAUUAGCAUUAUAAAUAACAUGUUCAGAAUUGUAUGUAUUGAUCAGACAUUAGUUUGAUCAUUUACAAUUAGGCCAGCACAACCAAAAUAUUGAUCACCAUAAAUGAAGGUGCGAAAUAAUGGUGAGACAUCAUUUGACAUUAAAAAAAUAUAUUAGAGCCAUAUACCUUAUAUAGGCACCGGCCACCCAACAGUGUGCAGAACCCCUUGACUCAUACAAUUUGUAACACUGCUCUCCUGUCCGAAUGCUUGAAGAAACAAUACAAAGUGUGAUGUAAUUCACGUUUACGUGAUAUGACUUUGACUUUAGAAAACUCAACCACCUACAGAGAUUGAUGGGGACCCGUAUACCCCGCUUGAAUCAAGCAGGCUUCAGUCACCCCCAAGAUUGAAGUGGGAGACAAAUCAGCUAUGGCCGCCUCCUCCGCAGGCCUCUCACACUGGACCGACAGGGGUCCUGGGACGUACAGCGCAGGCCUCUCACACUGGGCCGGCAGGGGUCCUGGGAUGUACAGCGCAGGCCUCUCACACUGGGCCGAC
rnacentral:lncRNA from 1 species